rnacentral:piRNA from 1 species
UGAAAUGUGUCCUCUAUCCGGCUC